rnacentral:rRNA from 1 species
CAAAGCCUACGGGGCGCAGCAGUGAGGAAUAUUGGUCAAUGGUCGGGAGACUGAACCAGCCAAGCCGCGUGAGGGAGGAAGGUACAGAGUAUCGUAAACCUCUUUUGUCAGGGAACAAAGGCGGGGACGUGUCCCCGGAUGAGUGUACCUGAAGAAAAAGCAUCGGCUAACUCCGUGCCAGCAGCCGCGGUAAUACGGAGGAUGCGAGCGUUAUCCGGAUUUAUUGGGUUUAAAGGGUGCGCAGGCGGUCUGUUAAGUCAGCGGUCAAAGGCCGGGGCCCAACCCCGGCCCGCCGU